GAGGCAGAUUUGGGACAAUGCAGCGAGCAGCCUACACCAGCACAGGGAAAGUAAUACAGCUGAUUUUGUCCCGACAUUUCAGUGGAGGAAGAAGCGCAUGCGCAGAUUGAAACGCAAGAGGCGAAAGAUGAGGCAAAGGUCCCAAUAACUUCACGUAGAGUUACUGUUGACCUUUGUACUGUCAAAUUGCAAAGCAAAGAGGAAUUGCAAUGAGUCUUGUUCGCUUGGGGCACGACCAUCAAUGUCCAAACACCAUAUUCAUCACAUUUGCUUUAUCUUCUUGAACUCAAGAAUGAAGUUGCACUGGACGUUGUAUGUUGAAGCAGUAACUCUGUAAUAAAUGUUUUUUUCUUGUUUACCAUGAGCUGGCAAGGCUA